CCUACGGGAGGCAGCAGUAGGGAAUCUUCCGCAAUGGACGAAAGUCUGACGGAGCAACGCCGCGUGAGUGAUGAAGGCUUUCGGGUCGUAAAACUCUGUUGUUAGGGAAGAACAAGUGCUAGUUGAAUAAGCUGGCACCUUGACGGUACCUAACCAGAAAGCCACGGCUAACUACAUGCCAGCAGCCGCGGUAAUACGUAGGUGGCAAGCGUUAUCCGGAAUUAUUGGGCGUAAAGCGCGCGCAGGUGGUUUCUUAAGUCUGAUGUGAAAGCCCACGGCUCAACCGUGGAGGGUCAUUGGAAACUGGGAGACUUGAGUGCAGAAGAGGAAAGUGGAAUUCCAUGUGUAGCGGUGAAAUGCGUAGAGAUAUGGAGGAACACCAGUGGCGAAGGCGACUUUCUGGUCUGUAACUGACACUGAGGCGCGAAAGCGUGGGGAGCAAACAGGAUUAGAUACCCUGGUAGUCCACGCCGUAAACGAUGAGUGCUAAGUGUUAGAGGGUUUCCGCCCUUUAGUGCUGAAGUUAACGCAUUAAGCACUCCGCCUGGGGAGUACGGCCGCAAGGCUGAAACUCAAAGGAAUU
rnacentral:rRNA from 1 species